rnacentral:rRNA from 1 species
UACGGAGGGUGCAAGCGUUAUCCGGAUUCACUGGGCUUAAAGGGUGCGUAGGCGGCUAGGUAAGUCCGUGGUGAAAUCCUGCAGCUUAACUGCAGAACUGCCAUGGAUACUAUUUAUCUUGAAUGUCGUGGAGGUUAGCAGAAUAUGUCAUGUAGCGGUGAAAUGCUUAGAUAUGACAUAGAAUACCCAUUGCGAAGGCAGCUAACUACGCGAUAAUUGACGCUGAUGCACGAAAGCGUGGGGAUCAAACAGG